rnacentral:rRNA from 1 species
UACGGAGGAUCCAAGCGUUAUCCGGAUUUAUUGGGGUUAAAGGGUGCGUAGGCGGCCUAUUAAGUCAGGGGUGAAAGACGGUAGCUUAACUAUCGCAGUGCCUUUGAUACUGAUAGGCUUGAAUGUACUUGAGGUAGGCGGAAUGUGACAAGUAGCGGUGAAAUGCAUAGAUAUGUCACAGAACACCAAUUGCGAAGGCAGCUUACUAAAGUAUGAUUGACGCUGAGGCACGAAAGCGUGGGGAUCAAACAGG